rfam:Tupaia chinensis contig163189, whole genome shotgun sequence.
GUGCAUAUUUCAUUGUCUUUUUCUUUUUUUGUAUCAAGAGAAAAGAUAUUUCUGAUGUGCUAAAUAAACCUUUAGAGGUUAAUUAGCAGCAUGACUAAUUUAGCCAUUGCUGUCAGACACCUUCAUUCAAAC